UACGUAGGGGGCAAGCGUUGUCCGGAAUCAUUGGGCGUAAAGCGCGUGUAGGCGGCUGAGUAAGUCUGCUCUGGAAAGCCCGGGGCUCAACCCCGGGAGGCGGGUGGAUACUGCUCAGCUCGAGUCCGGAAGAGGAGUGUGGAAUUCCUGGUGUAGCGGUGAAAUGCGCAGAUAUCAGGAGGAACACCAAUGGCGAAGGCAGCACUCUGGGACGGUACUGACGCUGAGACGCGAAAGCGUGGGGAGCAAACAGG
rnacentral:rRNA from 1 species